UGGUCAGGUAGCUCAGUCGGUAGAGCAGGGGACUGAAAAUCCCCGUGUCGAUGGUUCGAUUCCGUCCCUGACCAA
rnacentral:tRNA from 1 species